rnacentral:lncRNA from 1 species
UGGCGAAGGAAGAAGACAAUAAUGACCUCCCGGCUUUCGUGAUAUGGAAGAAACACGCGGUGAUUUAGUUAGGUUUAGAUUUUGUCGACACGGCUGCAAGCUUUUUUGUUUCUAGGUUAUAAAUUAGGGUUGGUUUAUAAUUAAACUCAGCCAUAACAUAUGCAUAACUCAGUUGUAAGUGUGCAUAAUUCAGCCGUAACUUAUCUGAAUGGUAUAAGCCAAUCGUAACGUUCCUAUAACUCAGCCGUUAAGUGUAAUAUGUUUCUCGACGUUUCGUAUUUUGGGUGGGAAAAAAAUAUUUUGGGUGGAAAAAAAUCAUUCCUUCA